GGGAGUAACUGCCUAUUGAUUGUUUAUUUUUAAACAAUCAGUGUACGGUGGUUCGACCAUUUUUGCAGGAAUACUAUCUGUCAUUAAGUUGAUUGGAUAUGUAAACUUGCAUCGUUUACUGUGAAAAAAUUAGAGUGUUUAAAGCAGGUGUUAUCCGCUUGAAUACAUUAGCAUGGAAUAAUAAGAUACGACCUUAAUCGUUUUUAUUGGUUUAACCUUAAAGGUA
rnacentral:rRNA from 1 species